UAAUACGUAGGGGGCAAGCGUUGUCCGGAUUUACUGGGUGUAAAGGGCGCGCAGGUGGGUUUGUAAGUCAGAGGUGAAAGCCUGGAGCUCAACUCCAGAACUGCCUUUGAAACUACAAAUCUUGAGUGCAGAAGAGAGAAGCGGAAUUCCAGGUGUAGUAGUGAAAUACGUAGAUAUCUGGAAGAACACCAGUUGCGAAGGCGGCUUCUUGGUCUGUCACUGACACUGAGGCGCGAAAGCGUGGGGAGCAAACAGGAUUAGAGACCCUGGUAGUCCACGCUGUAAACGAUGAAUACUAGAUGUCGGGUUUUUACUCGGUGUCGCAGCUAACGCAUUAAGUAUUCCACCUGGGAAGUACGAUCGCAAGGUUGAAACUUAAAUGAAUUGACGG
rnacentral:rRNA from 1 species